CGUCAGAUCUGAGGAGGGAGGGUGUUCCGAAGACCGGCUCGACCUUCGUAGUCCUUGACGAGAGUUGAAGGAACUCCAAAUGUCUGAGAAGACGAGGCUGAUUACUCACCUGCGGGAUGCCAAGAACUUGAUUGAGCAGCUUGAACAAGAUAAGGGUAAUAGCAGAGACGAAGCGUCAAAUGCACGAAAUGGUGGAAAUGAAAGAAGAAAUCAUCCAACUGCAGAGUCCCAUCAUGCAGAUUACCCUCCAGGGAGAGAAGUUGCAAGAACAGAAAGAGAAGUCGAAGAAAGCUGGUAAGGAAUUCACAGGGCCGUUAGCU